rnacentral:ncRNA from 1 species
GGGUGGUCCCCCACGGGGACCCCGGACGAGGGGUGCCGUACCCGGAGAGCGACAAGACGGCACCAG